AUGGAGCUACCAUGCAGCCGAGCGGUAGAGUCUCUUCGGAGACUUGAGAGCGGCGCACGGGUGCGGAACACGUUGAUGCAACCUGCCUUUAUCUGGGGGAUAGCCUUUCGAAAGGAAGAUUAAUACCCCAUAAUAUACUGNAUGGCAUCAUCUGNUAUUGAAAACUCCGGUGGAUAGAGAUGGGCACGCGCAAGAUUAGAUAGUUGGUGAGGUAACGGCUCACCAAGUCAGCGAUUUUUAGGGGCCUGAAGGGGGUCCCCCCAAUGGUAUGGGCCCGGCCAGAUUCUACGGGAGCAGCAUGAGGAUAUUGACAAUGGUGAGACCUGUCCAGCCUCCGGGUGAAGACGACGCCCUAUGGUUGUAACUUUUUUGUAUAGGGAUAACCUAGAUACGUGAUCUAGCUGAGGUACUAUAGGAUAAGCCCGGCUAAUCCGUGCCAGCAGCCGCGGUAAUACGGAGGUGCAAGCGUAUCCGGAUUAUUGGGUUAAAGGGUCCGUAGGCUGAUUGUAAGUCAGUGGUGAAUCUCACAGCUUAACUGUGAAACUGCCAUUGAUACUGCAAGUCUUGAGUGUUUUGAAGUAGCUGGAAUAAGUAGUGUAGCGGUGAAAUGCAUAGAUAUUACUUAGAACACCAAUUGCGAAGGCAGGUUACUAAGCAACAACUGACGCUGAUGGACGAAAGCGUGGGGAGCGAACAGGAUUAGAUACCCUGGUAGUCCACGCCGUAAACGAUGCUAACUCGUUUUUGGGUUUUCGGAUUCAGAGACUAAGCGAAAGUGAUAAGUUAGCCACCUGGGGAGUACGAACGCAAGUUUGAAACUCAAAGGAAUUGACGGGGGCCCGCACAAGCGGUGGAUUAUGUGGUUUAAUUCGAUGAUACGCGAGGAACCUUACCAAGGCUUAAAUGGGAAAUGACAGGUUUAGAAAUAGACUUUUCUUCGGACAUUUUUCAAGGUGCUGCAUGGUUGUCGUCAGCUCGUGCCGUGAGGUGUUAGGUUAAGUCCUGCAACGAGCGCAACCCCUGUCACUAGUUGCCAUCAUUAAGUUGGGGACUCUAGUGAGACUGCCUACGCAAGUAGAGAGGAAGGUGGGGAUGACGUCAAAUCAUCACGGCCCUUACGCCCUGGGCCACACACGUAAUACAAUGGCCGGUACAGAGGGCAGCUACACAGUGAUGUGAUGCAAAUCUCGAAAGUCCGGUCUCAGUUCGGAUUGGAGUCUGCAACUCGACUCUAUGAAGUCUGGAAUCGCUAGUAAUCGCGCAUCAGCCAUGGCGCGGUGAAUACGUUCCCGGGCAUUGUACACACCGCCCGUCAAGCCAUGGAAGUCUGGGGUACCUGAAGUCGGGCCCUAACAGGAGCUCUAGGAACAGAGGGGGAAA
rnacentral:rRNA from 1 species